UACAUGCAAGUCGAACGCGGGCACUUGUGCCCGAGUGGCGAACGGGUGAGUAAUACAUAAGUAACCUGGCCUUUACAGGGGGAUAACUGCUGGAAACGGCAGCUAAGACCGCAUAGGUAGGGACACUGCAUGGUGACCGUAUUAAAAGUGCUGCAAGGCACUGGUAGAGGAUGGACUUAUGGCGCAUUAGCUGGUUGGUGAGGUAACGGCUCACCAAGGCGACGAUGCGUAGCCGACCUGAGAGGGUGACCGGCCACACUGGGACUGAGACACGGCCCAGACUCCUACGGGAGGCAGCAGUAGGGAAUUUUCGGCAAUGGGGGGAACCCUGACCGAGCAACGCCGCGUGAAGGAAGAAGGAAUUCGUUCUGUAAACUUCUGUUAUAAAGGAAGAAAGACGGAUGGAGGAAAUGACAUCCGAGUGACGGUACUUUAUGAGAAAGCCACGGCUAACUACGUGCCAGCAGCCGCGGUAAUACGUAGGUGGCAAGCGUUAUCCGGAAUUAUUGGGCGUAAAGAGGGAGCAGGCGGCAGCAAAGGUCUGUGGUGAAAGACUGAAGCUUAACUUCAGUAAGCCAUAGAAACCGGGCAGCUAGAGUGCAGGAGAGGAUCGUGGAAUUCCAUGUGUAGCGGUGAAAUGCGUAGAUAUAUGGAGGAACACCAGUGGCGAAGGCGACGAUCUGGCCUGCAACUGACGCUCAGUCCCGAAAGCGUGGGGAGCAAAUAGGAUUAGAUACCCUAGUAGUCCACGCCGUAAACGAUGAGUACUAAGUGUUGGAAGUCAAAUUUCAGUGCUGCAGUUAACGCAGUAAGUACUCCGCCUGAGUAGUACGUUCGCAAGAAUGAAACUCAAAGGAAUUGACGGGGGCCCGCACAAGCGGUGGAGCAUGUGGUUUAAUUCGAAGCAACGCGAAGAACCUUACCAGGUCUUGACAUACUCAUAAAGGAUCCAGAGAUGGAUAGAUAGUUAUAUGAGAUACAGGUGGUGCAUGGUUGUCGUCAGCUCGUGUCGUGAGAUGUUGGGUUAAGUCCCGCAACGAGCGCAACCCUUGUCGUUAGUUACCAUCAUUAAGUUGGGGACUCUAGCGAGACUGCCAGUGACAAGCUGGAGGAAGGCGGGGAUGACGUCAAAUCAUCAUGCCCCUUAUGACCUGGGCUACACACGUGCUACAAUGGAUGGUGCAGAGGGAAGCGAAGCCGCGAGGCGAAGCAAAACCCAUAAAACCAUUCUCAGUUCGGAUUGUAGUCUGCAACUCGACUACAUGAAGUUGGAAUCGCUAGUAAUCGCGAAUCAGCAUGUCGCGGUGAAUACGUUCUCGGGCCUUGUACACACCGCCCGUCACACCAUGAGAGUUGAUAACACCCGAAGCCGGUGGCCUAACCGAAAGGAAGGAGCUGUCUAA
rnacentral:rRNA from 1 species